rnacentral:rRNA from 1 species
CUACCGGGGUAUCUAAUCCUGUUUGCUCCCCACGCUUUCGAGCCUCAGCGUCAGUUACAAGCCAGAGAGCCGCUUUCGCCACCGGUGUUCCUCCAUAUAUCUACGCAUUUCACCGCUACACAUGGAAUUCCACUCUCCCCUCUUGCACUCAAGUUAAACAGUUUCCAAAGCGUACUAUGGUUAAGCCACAGCCUUUAACUUCAGACUUAUCUAACCGCCUGCGCUCGCUUUACGCCCAAUAAAUCCGGACAACGCUCGGGACCUACGUAUUACCGCGGCUGCUGGCAC